CCUACGGGAGGCAGCAGUGAGGAAUAUUGGUCAAUGGACGAGAGUCUGAACCAGCCAAGUCGCGUGAGGGAGGACGGCCCUACGGGUUGUAAACCUCUUUUGCCGGGGAGCAACGGGCGCCACGUGUGGCGUCACUGAGAGUACCCGGAGAAAAAGCAUCGGCUAACUCCGUGCCAGCAGCCGCGGUAAUACGGAGGAUGCGAGCGUUAUCCGGAUUUAUUGGGUUUAAAGGGUGCGUAGGCGGAAGGUUAAGUCAGCGGUCAAAUGUCGGUGCUCAACACCGGCCUGCCGUUGAAACUGGUCUUCUUGAGUGAGCGAGAAGUAUGCGGAAUGCGUGGUGUAGCGGUGAAAUGCAUAGAUAUCACGCAGAACUCCGAUUGCGAAGGCAGCAUACCGGCGCUCAACUGACGCUGAGGCACGAAAGCGUGGGGAUCGAACAGGAUUAGAUACCCCAGUAGUC
rnacentral:rRNA from 1 species